UAUAGCCACAAGCUCACUUACUCUGACCUUUGCUCUGAACCUUUUGUAAUUCCUGUUUUUGUAUUUCCUCAUGUGGAGGUCAGAUUUGGACCCGCUUUUCCUGGAGCUGAACUUUUGUUACAAUUGAUUUAUUUUCUCCAGUGAUUUUUUUGUUAUUAAAUAGAGACUUUUGAGGAUCUUCACUUGGAUUCUCACUCUUUUUUGAAACCACAACAGAACGAACUGGCCAGUAUGAAUCCAGCGGACCUUCCCCAUGAUGAGGACACACCUGCGGCAAUCAGGGAAGCCAUUUCGCAGCAAGGCAUCCUGCUUGGCCUGCAUGAACAAACACUACGCCAUCUUGUCCAAGGAAAUCAGGACCUUGUAUCACAGAUGAGUCAAUUAAUGAACCAAAUGUCUGUUUUGACUAAAAAACUUUUAUCCAUAGCCUCUGCCCAGUCACCUUUGACCCCUGCCUCACCCCACGCCUAAGCAGCAACUCUUGAAGUUCCCGUGCCAAACCCUGAGCCUUUUCAUGGGGACCUGAGCAGCUGUCGAGCCUUUCUUCUGCAGUGUUCCAACGUUUUUCAGCUCAGACCAACAACCUUUUCCACAGAUAAGUCAAAUAUUUUGUUUAUGGUUUGGUUACUGCGUGGCAGGGUCUUAACAUGAGCAGAGGCAGAAGACUCCAAGAAUCCACUGGCACUCAGAAGAUUUAAUGACUUUAUUGAGCGUUUCCGGCAAGUUUUCGACCACCCAAAUUAUGCUGGCAGUGCUGCUAAGCGUCUCCUAGCUCUACAGCAGGGAAGUCAUAGUGCUGCUGAUUAUUCUGUGGAGUUUCAAACAUUGGCAGCUGAUUUAGGAUGGAAUGACAAAGCGCUUAUGGAGAUUUUUAGUAAGGGCCUUAACGACCAGAUAAGGGAUGAAUUGGCUUGCAGAGACGAAGAGACACAUUUCAGUUCACUGAUUUCAUUGGUGAUUUGUUUAGAUAACCGUUUACGUGAGCGCCGCCAAGAGAAGACUGGUCAAUCUAAAUUCCCCCAAACUGUUCACAGACCUGCAAUUAAAGCAGCAUAAAUUCCCCGUCCUACCCCUCCUGCGGCUACUGAAGAACCCAUGCAGCUGGGCAGAGCACACCUGUCUCCUGGAGAACGGCAGCAACGCAUGCGGCUAGGCUAAAGCGACCCCAGAAGAGCAUUGAUCCUCACAGACGCAUCGGCUAUGUUGAAGAGUCGGGCCAAGCGAUAACAAUUCACAGCCAGACCAGCUGCUGACAACACAGCAUUGGACUGAGUGGAUGGCGAAGGGGCGACGAUGAUCAUCCGUAGGAAAAGACAGCAAACUGUGCGUUUUGCUCGUGACAGGAGUCGGCUGUGAGGGAAGAUGCCGUGUCAGCAUGGGGGACACGUGGCAGGGGCCAACGUGAAUCACAGCGAGAAGAAGGAACACACGUGCCGAGCCAAUAGCAGGUCUCCAAACAAGAAGCCUUAAUCAACUGCCUGAGUCAGUUGGAAAGUCAUACGCCAUGAGGGCCCAGUAAGGGACGCUGCAGUGUCGAUAUAGCAUGUCCUCAAGGCUCGGGUCAUUUCUGAAGAAGCAAUUAAGGCGGGACUGUGGGGGGGGAACUUUUAUGAGACCUGAAGAGCGGGACAAUGAGAGUUCUUGUCAAGCUGUUGUCAACCAACCUCCGGGGAGACCCACCCAUGUCCAUAACUGGCCUAAUAAAAAUGUGCGUAAAAACAAAUAAAUAAAUAUAAAAGCUGAAGGUGUAUUCCAUCCAGGGUUUAGUAAAAGCACACGUGA